rnacentral:rRNA from 1 species
UACAGAGGUCUCAAGCGUUGUUCGGAUUCAUUGGGCGUAAAGGGUGCGUAGGCGGCGAGGCAAGUCAGGUGUGAAAUCUCGGGGCUCAACUCCGAAACUGCACUUGAUACUGCCUUGCUAGAGUACUGGAGAGGAGAUUGGAAUUUACGGUGUAGCAGUGAAAUGCGUAGAUAUCGUAAGGAACACCAGUGGCGAAGGCGACUUACUGGACACAUAUUGACGCUGAGGUGCGAAAGCGUGGGGAGCAAACAGG